rnacentral:siRNA from 1 species
CCUUCCUCGCAAAUUGACUGU